AUUCUUCACCUGAACAAUCCACUUGUAAGCUAUUCUGCCCUGCUGCAUAUGGAUCCAUUGUUCUCAGAUUAUAUUACUAGGUAAAUAAAAAAAAUAAAUAAAGAAGUCAUUGGCAAGACAAAUCAGUAACAUAGCAGGAAGAAAAGUGAACGACAACAUCAAGAACUCCUUUUUCAAGUUUGAAUAAUUGUAAAUGAAAUUCUGAAGUUUAUGGUUCUCUAUUGUAUGGGUUUUAUAUGUUUUUACUCUCACAGCCAUGGAUACUGAUGUACCCCAAA
rnacentral:misc_RNA from 1 species